GAUGAACGCUGGCGGCGUGCCUAAUACAUGCAAGUCGAGCGAACAGACGAGGAGCUUGCUCCUCUGACGUUAGCGGCGGACGGGUGAGUAACACGUGGAUAACCUACCUAUAAGACUGGGAUAACUUCGGGAAACCGGAGCUAAUACCGGAUAAUAUAUUGAACCGCAUGGUUCAAUAGUGAAAGACGGUUUUGCUGUCACUUAUAGAUGGAUCCGCGCCGCAUUAGCUAGUUGGUAAGGUAACGGCUUACCAAGGCAACGAUGCGUAGCCGACCUGAGAGGGUGAUCGGCCACACUGGAACUGAGACACGGUCCAGACUCCUACGGGAGGCAGCAGUAGGGAAUCUUCCGCAAUGGGCGAAAGCCUGACGGAGCAACGCCGCGUGAGUGAUGAAGGUCUUCGGAUCGUAAAACUCCGUUAUUAGGGAAGAACAAAUGUGUAAGUAACUAUGCACGUCUUGACGGUACCUAAUCAGAAAGCCACGGCUAACUACGUG
rnacentral:rRNA from 1 species